AACUCACUGAGCGAGGCCAGGGAUCGAACCUACAUCCUCAUGGAUGCUAGUCGGAUUCGUUUCUGCUGAGCCACGAUGGGAACUCCUUUUUUUUUAAACCUCCGUAAUACACACACAAUGCCUUACACGUAGUAGGUGUUCAAUCAGCAUUUCUUGGGUUGGAUUGAAUACUAGUUCAUAGUAGACAGAGAUCUAUCUCAUCUCCCCCAGCGCAUCAGUCCCAUAAAUGUUUACUGAGCACCAUUUAUGUGCAGGGUGCUGUGCUAGUUGCUAGAAAGGGGCCCCUUGUCUUCCUCAAUGUCAGUCAUCUGCAUUCAUAGGGCCUAGUGCAUAUAAGAGGUCCUUGCUAGAUACUUACUGAGUAAACAAAUGAAUUAGUGAGUAACUAAGUGAAGGGAUGAAGUUCAGACAGGCAUCACUUGAAUAAGGACUUAGGGCAGCUGUCAGAUAGGAGGUAGGAGUGGAAGAUAAAGCUAAGGGAGUCUGAGGUACAGCGAAUGGCUAUUGUUUUAUUUAUUUAUUUAUUUAUUUAUUUAUCUGAGGCUCUGAUUGGACCCCUAGCCUGGGAACCUCCAUAUGCCACGAGUGUGGCCCUCAAAAGACAAAAAAAAGAGAACAUUUCUUGCCCCAAAUAGAUAUAUCAGUAUAGUAACUCCAUAUACCUGUUUGUCCACAUCAAGUAAUUAUCAGGCCAUGGCUAUAUUUGCUUCAUGCAUCUUUUUUUUUUCCCCCCUUUGCUAAAGUAUUUUAAAAUAAAUUUUAAACAUCACUCAUGUCCUUUCAUUCCUAGUACCUCUCUAUGCAUGUUUGGAAAAAAACAGACAUUUUCUCAUAUAACCACAGUCCCAUUAACAUACCUAACAAAAGUAACCAUGAUGCUUUUGUGUUAUCCCUUACCCGGUCUACACGCAAAUGUCCUCAAGUGUCUCAAAACAUGUUCUACAGCUGGCUUGUUAGAAUCCAGGUCCCAAAGAGCUCUGCCCACUACAUUUUGUCGUUGUGUCUUUUACGGCCCUUUCGACAGUCCCCUCUCCCUAACUGGUUAGAGAAGUCAUGUCAGUUGUUCUGUCCGCCGCCCCACAUUCUGGCCUGUUCGCUUUUCCUUACUGUCAUUUAGCUUGUUCCACUAUCUCCUGUAUCUCUCAAAAGUGGAAGUUUUCUCUCGGCUUGGUCUGCUUCAGGCUUUUCUUUUUUUUUUCUCCUUUUUCUCCUCCCCUUUGGCAGAGUGAUUAAAAGGGGGCCCGCGUGGAGGCAUUUACAGGCAGUUAGGGGGCUGUUCGAGUAGCUGGCUGGGGCUAGAAAGGAGGUGGAUGGCCGGAUUUCGGAGGUAGAAGAAACGUGACUUACCUACCAAUUGGAUGAGUGGGAUAAGAAAGGAAGACGAGUCAAAGAUGAUGCCGAGACGCUGAGCCUGCAUGAUGGGGAGAGUAAUAAUACCGUCAUAUCAUAUCUGAAGGAUCGGUUUUUAAUGAGAGCAGCAGGAAUUAUGGUUCGAUGAAAAGAGGAACUUUUCUCACAGUAAUAAGCCAUCUGCUCUGUUUUUUCUUGAUAACACUAUCUUGCCCAGAAAAACUUUGAUUAGUGGUAGAGCUAGAAAUGUGGGCCCUCCAGGAAAAAGAAAAAGAAAAAGAAAAAAAAAAAAAAAAAG
rnacentral:lncRNA from 1 species